rnacentral:misc_RNA from 1 species
CACCUCUACAACUUCUAUGAAGAGCUGGACGAAAGAUGAGGCCAUUUUAAUUGUCAAAAAUGGCAAUGAAGUCGUCACAAUGGACUGGACCAUUUGACUGAACCAGUCCUAGUUUUUGAGCCAUAAAUUGGGCUGUAGACCUCGAAUUUGGGUCCAUGAGUACCCAUUGGAAAGCUAAGAAAUAGAGCUACAACUUCCUGAAAAGGGCAGACGCAGAUUCGGAAAGAAAGUUGUUGAAAAUCUGCCUUGAUUCCAGAAACGUGAAUGCAAGCUGAAAAUCUGCAUCUUGAAUUUCAAAAUCUUUCCUAGUUUGGUUUGGUUCCUGUCUUUGGGAUUAGGUUCUUUUUAGUAUAAAUACGUCUUUGGGCAGUAGCUAAGAGCAUCCCAUUCAGACCUUCAUUCUCCAUAGACACCAUUCAGCAGCCUUUUCAUUCGUCUUUUAGAAUUCUUCUUUAGAUUUCUUUAUUUUAUUUUUCUGUAAGCCAUGAACAUGAGUGGCUAAGUUUCUAAAUUCAGUUCAAGAGAUUCUAGUUCUUAUGCAUGGUUUAUAAAACCAGGUUCUUAAUUCAAAUUAUGCCUUUUUGAAUAUCUAUUAAUUCUUGAUUUUAUUGUUUUUGAUCUAUUGAAUGAUUUGCUAAAAAAGCCUAUUAGUUAAUUAUUUAAUAUGAUUACUUGCUAGUUCAUCUUUAUAACCCGUAAUUGUUGUGUAGGAUUGAAUGUGAGUAGCGAUUAGGUUUUAUUAAUUAUGAUCCAAGUUUUCGAUAAUAACCUAAAGAAACAAUAGGAUGAAUUAAAUGAUUUAUACUUUAUAAAUCAUUGUUCAACUUAACUACUUCCUGUUCUUAAAGUAAUUAUUAAUUUGAUGAGGAUUGCUU